rnacentral:tRNA from 1 species
GAGUCGUUAGCUCAGUUGGUAGAGCAACGGACUUUUAAUCCGUAGGCCCAGGGUUCGAGUCCCUGACGACUCA